CUUAAAUUUUAUCAAUCACCAAAGGCCACAUUUUCAGCUUCUUUGCUGUUCUGCUGAAGAAAAAUACUCAUCAACAUCUUGGGUGGCAUAAGGAUCUUUGCAGGAUUCAGUCGCAUAUCUCGGAUCUGAGUUCUGCGCAGCAUUGGACACAGACUCUGCACUUUUGACAUUUUCUAGAAAAAAGGAUUUUAAAUUUCACAUCAAGUUCAUUAAAAGUCAUCUGAUGUUUCCACUGCAGUACUUCAGGGCCUUUCAGUCAUCCUGGAGGAUGACCCACAGGAAUUUUACAGGAUGUGUUUCGAUUUGGAUGCAGACUUCAGUGAAGCAGUUGUAGACCUGCUCACAGUUCUACCAGAGGACAUGCCCUCAUUGUGGAUGCAAUAAAGGCAAUCAUGGAGGGAAGAAUUGUCAUGGAUGGGUUUUACAGGCCUGUAUUUUAUUUUUGCUGUUCUGUUUGCAUGUCAUUCUG